UUCCGGUUGAUCCUGCCGGACCUGACUGCUAUCGGAUUGGUACUAAGCCAUGUGAGUCGUUGUAGCAAUACAAGGCAUACGGCUCAGUAACACGUAGUCAAUCUAACCUAUGGACGGGGAUAACCUCGGGAAACUGAGGAUAAACCCCGAUAGAUCAUUAUGCCUGGAACGGUUUAUGGUCUAAAUGAUUCGUCGCCGUAGGGUGGGACUGCGGCCUAUCAGUUUGUUGGUGAGGUAAUGGCCCACCAAGACUAUUACAGGUACGGGCUCUGAGAGGAGAAGCCCGGAGAUGGGUACUGAGACACGGACCCAGGCCCUAUGGGGCGCAGCAGGCGAGAAACCUUUGCAAUGUGCGCAAGCACGACAAGGUUAAUCCGAGUGUUUCCUGCUAAAGGAAUCUUUUGUUAGUUGUAAAACCACUGAUGAAUAAGGGGUGGGCAAGUUCUGGUGUCAGCCGCCGCGGUAAAACCAGCACCUCAAGUGGUCAGGAUGAUUAUUGGGCCUAAAGCAUCCGUAGCCUGUUCUGUAAGUUUCCGGUUAAAUCCAUUAGCUCAACUAAUGGGCUGCCGAAAAUACUGCAGAACUAGGGAGUGGGAGAGGUAGACGGUACUCGGUAGGAAGGGGUAAAAUCCUUUGAUCUAUUGACGACCACCUGUGGCGAAGGCGGUCUACCAGAACACGAUCGACGGUGAGGGAUGAAAGCUGGGGGAGCAAACCGGAUUAGAUACCCGGGUAGUCCCAGCUGUAAACGAUGCAGACUCGGUGAUGCCCUGGCUUGUGGCCAGUGCAGUGCCGCAGGGAAGCCGUUAAGCUUGCCGCCUGGGAAGUACGUACGCAAGUAUGAAACUUAAAGGAAUUGGCGGGGCAGCAC
rnacentral:rRNA from 1 species